rnacentral:rRNA from 1 species
AUUGAACGCUGGCGGCAGGCCUAACACAUGCAAGUCGAGCGGAUGAAGGGAGCUUGCUCCUGGAUUCAGCGGCGGACGGGUGAGUAAUUCCUAGGAAUCUGCCUGGUAGUGGGGGAUAACGUCCGGAAACGGGCGCUAAUACCGCAUACGUCCUGAGGGAGAAAGUGGGGGAUCUUCGGACCUCGCGCUAUCAGAUGAGCCUAGGUCGGAUUAGCUAGUUGGUGGGGUAAAGGCCUACCAAGGCGACGAUCCGUAACUGGUCUGAGAGGAUGAUCAGUCACACUGGAACUGAGACACGGUCCAGACUCCUACGGGAGGCAGCAGUGGGGAAUAUUGGACAAUGGGCGAAAGCCUGAUCCAGCCAUGCCGCGUGUGUGAAGAAGGUCUUCGGAUUGUAAAGCACUUUAAGUUGGGAGGAAGGGCAGUAAGUUAAUACCUUGCUGUUUUGACGUUACCAACAGAAUAAGCACCGGCUAACUUCGUG